rnacentral:rRNA from 1 species
GACGAACGCUGGCGGCGUGCUUAACACAUGCAAGUCGAACGGAAAGGCCCUGCUUGCAGGGUACUCGAGUGGCGAACGGGUGAGUAACACGUGGGUGAUCUGCCCUGCACUUCGGGAUAAGCCUGGGAAACUGGGUCUAAUACCGGAUAGGAGCCAUUUUUAGUGUGAUGGUUGGAAAGUUUUUUCGGUGUAGGAUGAGCUCGCGGCCUAUCAGCUUGUUGGUGGGGUAAUGGCCUACCAAGGCGGCGACGGGUAGCCGGCCUGAGAGGGUGGACGGCCACAAUUGGACUGGGGUACGGCCCAGACGCCCACGGGAGGCAGCAGUGGGGAAUAUUGCACAAUGGGCGCAAGCCUGAUGCAGCGACGCCGCGUGGGGGAUGACGGCCUUCGGGUUGUAAACUCCUUUCGCUAGGGACGAAGCUUUUUGUGACGGUACCUAGAUAAGAAGCACCGGCUAACUACGUG